GACGAGGCACUACGGUGCUGAAGCAACAAAUGCCCUGCUUCCAGGAAAAGCCUCUAAGCAUCAGGUAACAUCAAAUCGUACCCCAAACCGACACAGGUGGUCAGGUAGAGAAUACCAAGGCGCUUGAGAGAACUCGGGUGAAGGAACUAGGCAAAAUGGUGCCGUAACUUCGGGAGAAGGCACGCUGACACGUAGGUGAAGUGAUUUACUCAUGGAGCUGAAGUCAGUCGAAGAUACCAGCUGGCUGCAACUGUUUAUUAAAAACACAGCACUGUGCAAACACGAAAGUGGACGUAUACGGUGUGACGCCUGCCCGGUGCCGGAAGGUUAAUUGAUGGGGUCAGCGCAAGCGAAGCUCCUGAUCGAAGCCCCGGUAAACGGCGGCCGUAACUAUAACGGUCCUAAGGUAGCGAAAUUCCUUGUCGGGUAAGUUCCGACCUGCACGAAUGGCGUAAUGAUGGCCAGGCUGUCUCCACCCGAGACUCAGUGAAAUUGAACUCGCUGUGAAGAUGCAGUGUACCCGCGGCAAGACGGAAAGACCCCGUGAACCUUUACUAUAGCUUGACACUGAACAUUGAGCCUUGAUGUGUAGGAUAGGUGGGAGGCUUUGAAGUGUGGACGCCAGUCUGCAUGGAGCCGACCUUGAAAUACCACCCUUUAAUGUUUGAUGUUCUAACGUGGACCCGUAAUCCGGGUUGCGGACAGUGUCUGGUGGGUAGUUUGACUGGGGCGGUCUCCUCCUAAAGAGUAACGGAGGAGCACGAAGGUUGGCUAAUCCUGGUCGGACAUCAGGAGGUUAGUGCAAUGGCAUAAGCCAGCUUGACUGCGAGCGUGACGGCGCGAGCAGGUGCGAAAGCAGGUCAUAGUGAUCCGGUGGUUCUGAAUGGAAGGGCCAUCGCUCAACGGAUAAAAGGUACUCCGGGGAUAACAGGCUGAUACCGCCCAAGAGUUCAUAUCGACGGCGGUGUUUGGCACCUCGAUGUCGGCUCAUCACAUCCUGGGGCUGAAGUAGGUCCCAAGGGUAUGGCUGUUCGCCAUUUAAAGUGGUACGCGAGCUGGGUUUAGAACGUCGUGAGACAGUUCGGUCCCUAUCUGCCGUGGGCGCUGGAGAACUGAGGGGGGCUGCUCCUAGUACGAGAGGACCGGAGUGGACGCAUCACUGGUGUUCGGGUUGUCAUGCCAAUGGCACUGCCCGGUAGCUAAAUGCGGAAGAGAUAAGUGCUGAAAGCAUCUAAGCACGAAACUUGCCCCGAGAUGAGUUCUCCCUGAGACUUAGAGUCUCCUGAAGGAACGUUGAAGACGACGACGUUGAUAGGCCGGGUGUGUAAGCGCAGCGAUGCGUUGAGCUAACCGGUACUAAUGAACCGUGAGGCUUAACCUUACAACGCCAAAG
rnacentral:rRNA from 1 species